AAACUUGACGGAUAGGCUUCACCAGGUUCUCCGCUGGGCUACUGGCUCGGUGGAGAUCUUCUUCUCGAGAAACAACGCCUUCCUAGCUUCCCCGAAGAUGAAGAUCCUCCAGAGAAUCGCUUACCUUAACGUUGGAAUCUAUCCUUUCACUUCGAUCUUCCUCAUCGUCUACUGCUUCCUCCCUGCGCUCUCGCUCUUCUCGGGACAGUUCAUAGUCCAAACGCUUAACGUCACGUUCCUCAUCUAUCUUCUUAUCAUCUCCAUCACAUUGUGUUUACUAGCUCUCCUCGAGAUCAAAUGGUCAGGAAUCUCGUUGGAAGAAUGGUGGAGAAACGAGCAGUUCUGGCUCAUUGGAGGAACAAGCGCUCAUUUAGCUGCGGUUAUCCAAGGACUGCUCAAAGUGGUGGCUGGAAUCGAAAUCUCUUUCACGUUGACGUCUAAAUCAGGAGGAGACGACGUGGACGACGAGUUUGCGGAUCUUUACGUAGUGAAAUGGACGUCUCUGAUGAUCCCACCGAUCACGAUCAUGAUGGUGAAUCUAAUCGCUAUCGCGGUCGGGUUUAGCAGGACGAUAUAUAGUGUGAUUCCUCAGUGGAGUAAGUUGAUAGG
rnacentral:lncRNA from 1 species